rnacentral:rRNA from 1 species
UCAGGAUGAACGCUGGCGGCGUGCUUAACACAUGCAAGUCGAACGAAGCACCUCUAAUCGAAGAUUGAGAAAGCUUGCUUUGAUUGAUUCACCUGAGGUGACUGAGUGGCGGACGGGUGAGUAACGCGUGGGUAACCUACCCUAUACAGGGGGAUAACAGUUGGAAACGACUGCUAAUACCGCAUAAGCGCACAGGACCGCAUGGUCUAGUGUGAAAAAACUCCGGUGGUAUAGGAUGGACCCGCGUCUGAUUAGCUAGUUGGUGAGGUAACGGCUCACCAAGGCGACGAUCAGUAGCCGACCUGAGAGGGUGACCGGCCACAUUGGGACUGAGACACGGCCCAAACUCCUACGGGAGGCAGCAGUGGGGAAUAUUGCACAAUGGGCGAAAGCCUGAUGCAGCGACGCCGCGUGAACGAAGAAGUAUUUCGGUAUGUAAAGUUCUAUCAGCAGGGAAGAAAAAUGACGGUACCUGACUAAGAAGCUCCGGCUAAAUACGUGCCAGCCGCCGC